AGAGAUCAACCAUUGAGAUCCAA
rnacentral:miRNA from 1 species